rnacentral:rRNA from 1 species
GACGAACGCUGGCGGCGUGGAUUAGGCAUGCAAGUCGAACGGUAUCAUCCUUUCGGGGGUGAGAGAGUGGCGAACUGGUGAGUAACACGUAGGUUAUCUACCCUCAAGACGGGGACAACCCAGGGAAACUUGGGCUAAUACCGGAUGUGAGCAACUUUUUAGUUGUUUGAAAGGUGGCGUAAGCUGUCGCUUGGGGAUGAGCCUGCGUCCUAUUAGUUAGUUGGUGAGGUAACGGCUCACCUAGGCAAUGAUAGGUAGGCGGCCUUAACGGGUGGUCGCCCACACUGGGAUUGAGAUACGGCCCAGACUCCUACGGGAGGCAGCAGUCGAGAAUAGUCUACAAUGGUCGGAAGACUGAUAGUGCGACGCCGCGUGAACGAUGAAUCCCUUCGGGGGUGUAAAGUUCUUUUAUAUGUGAGCAGUGCUUUCUUAUAUUUAACAGUAUGGGGAGAGAGAUAUUAGCAUAUGAAUAAGCAACGGCUAACUCCGUGCCAGCAGCCGCGGUAAACG